CUACGGGUGGCACCAGUGAGGAAUAUUGCGCAAUGGGGGCAACCCUGACGCAGCGACGCCGCGUGGAUGAUGAAGGCCUUCGGGUCGUAAAAUCCUGUCAGAUGGAAAGAAGUGCGAGGUGGUUAAUACCCAUUUCGUUUGACGGUACCAUCAGAGGAAGCACCGGCUAACUCCGUGCCAGCAGCCGCGGUAAUACGGAGGGUGCAAGCGUUGUUCGGAAUUACUGGGCGUAAAGCGCGCGUAGGCGGUUUGUUAAGUCAGAUGUGAAAGCCCACGGCUCAACCGUGGACGUGCAUUUGAACUGGCAGACUUGAGUAUUGGAGGGGGUGGUGGAAUUCCCGGUGUAGAGGUGAAAUUCGUAGAUAUCGGGAGGAAUACCGGUGGCGAAGGCGACCACCUGGCCAAAUACUGACGCUGAGGUGCGAAAGCGUGGGGAGCAAACAGGAUUAGAUACCCCUGUAAUC
rnacentral:rRNA from 1 species